CGGGCGGAGAACCUGGGUGACGGUUAGGUGUGUGAAUUAACAAUGAGCCCACUCGAUUCCGAUGACGACACGACACGUGGACGCGCUUGAAACACUGAUACCAACGACUAGACCGUUCGAAAUCGUUCGAGAUCUGAUUAGAAAAAUCAAAGAGGGAGCCACGGUUCGCACGAAUUCGCCAGUUGCGCCUUAUCUCGAGGAGUUCAACUAAUUGUACGAGUUUACAUCGCGGCACGGCGUGAUCACGUCGAUUAACGAACAGGUUUCGGAGAUACACGACACGCUGCAAACUGUGCAGCGGCAGUAGGUCGGCAUGCAAAGCUCUAUCGUUGAUCCCAAUCUUCUCCUUUGACGAGGAUGUGUGAUCGAGCACAGUCCAAAAUUAACACCACAAGAGCACGAGCGAGGCAACAUAGCGUCACGAACAACACAGGGAUCAGUUGAUUCGCCCCCUUUGGUACACGCGUUUCUGGCGACUUGUCUUUUAAACUGGGUCAAUACAAUUUUUAAUUGAAAUAAUUUUUUUCAAUAUGCGUAAGUAUAAUCAAUUUUUCUCGAAUAUAACGCAUCGCAAUAGUAUUGGAUUGUGUGAUUGUACAAGAGUAUUAAGUAAAUAUAAAAAAUGGACUUUGAAAUUUUAUAAAAUGAAUUUUUAAAAUCUGAUUUUGGAACUCAAAAAUUGAAAAAUCAUCGUUAAUUAUAAUUAAUUUAAUGUUUAAAAAUAGGCAAAUAUAAUAAGAUAUAUAAUAAUAAUAAAAUUUAUUUAUUUGGGCGUUUUUGGAUUUUCCAUUCGAUUUUGCAAUGUAUAAGCAAAAAUCAAAAUAAGCAAAGUCUGAUGAAUAGUAAAUAGGAUAAAACAUGUAAAUUAAACUGAAAUAAUUUUUUGUGACGUCAAAAAUAUAUACAUGCAUUGUUAUAUGGUUUUUACUGAUUUUUUUUCUGAAUAUAAAUGAUACUUUUAAUUGAUCCAUUUAAUCAUGUAGUAGAUAAAAGUUCACAUUAAAAAACGUCUUUAUAAUUCUACCAAAAUGACAAUAAAAUGAAUAUUAUGGAUUCUAUUAAAUUAUUAGACAUAAGAAAAAUAAGAUGAAUUUUUAAUAAACUUUAAUAUACAUAAUUUAAUUUAAGAAUUAAAUAAAGUAAUAAAAUAAUGUAAUGAUUAAAUAUAUUGAAAAUUGAAUAGAUUUUUUUAUUCUAUGAUUUUUUAAAAUUUAAAAUUUAAUUUUCUUGCAAACAAGACUUCAAAUGAAAAACUUUUCUUUAGGAUUUUAGAAUUUUUAGAAUCUAAACUUUUAGAAUCAAAUUUUGUCUUAUUUACGACAAAAACAUAUCUUUUUACGAUAUUUUCGUAAAAAAAAAAAAAAAGAUAUAAUUCGUCAAAAAGAAAAUUUAUUUAAUAACAAACUACUAUAAACUACUGUAUUACAAAUAAGAAUAGAACGUAAUUUCAUCAUAUUAUUCGUGUAAAGUAUAAAUACAAAGAUAUACUCCAAAUGAUUCAGUUGGAAAACGAACUGAAGCCGAAUUGGCGAGCGUGCCGAAGACUUUUACCCCUUGGAUAAGGAGGGAUUUAGUCGUGGAUAUCUGUUUGAAUGAAGGUAAUAUCAGAGAGAGGUUUUUGAUGGGGUCUGAGGGAGUGACCAAAGCGCAGUUAAAGACAGGGUCCCAGAAUGACGUCGCGAAGCUGGAAUGGAUGAACGAGGGUGGUCAACGUGAGAAUGAUCACUGUGAAAAGAGACAGAAGAAAGAAAGAGAAAAUGGUCAGAGACCCUCAUCAUCCUCCGCUAAUAUUUACUUACGCAUAUGCAAAGACGAGCCUUACUAAAAAGAACUAUCUCCUUGGUAUUCUUUGAUAAAUAUGCCUGGAAUUAUGGAAGACUAUCUUCAAUAACCCUUAAAGUUUAAUACACCUUUAGAUAUUUACUUGUCAUCACAAUGUAUAUGGAGAAAAAGAUUGAUUAAUGAUACGAAAUAAUAAAUUAAAUUUUAUACAUGCU